GUGGUUAGAGACUAAAGGUUGAGAUAGUAAUUUUUUAUAUAUAAGUGGAAUUUGUUUAUAAGAAGUUGAUUUAUGUAUCUCUUUUUCUUGAUGCCAUGAAAAUUAGGUAGUAAACCGGGAUUAGAUACCCCGUUAUUCCUUUUUGUAAAUGUUAAUAUAAAGUAAUUUACUAGAGUAUUACGAGUUGUUUAUGUAAAAAUGAACUGUACUUAAAACUCAAAAAACUUGGCGGUGCCUUAAUUCUUUCCAGGGGAACCUGUUCUAUAAUCGAUAAUCCACGUUUUAGCUUACUCUUUUUUGUAUAAAAUUUAAUUUUAUUCAGUUUGUAUACCGUCGUCGUCAGAUUACCUUUAAGAGAAUAAAUAGUUGUCGGGUUAAGAGAAGCAUGAUUACAGUGAAUUGUAAAGUUAAUUUUGUGAUGUCAGAUCAAGGUGCAGCUUAUAAAAGAGUAGAAAUGGGUUACAGUGAUGAUUUUUUUUGGAUUUUAGGCUGUAAAGUCUAUAUGAAAUUGGACUUGGAAGUAAUAGAUAUUUAGUGUUAAAUUAAUAGAGAGAAUUUAUGAAUGAAGUACUGAGGUGCGU
rnacentral:rRNA from 1 species